AUUACUGUAACCACAUAGACUACCCAGGCAGAGGUUAGCUAUUACUGUAACCACAUAGACUACCCAGGCAGAGGUUAGCUAUUACUGUAACCACAUAGACUACCCAGGCAGAGGUUAGCUAUUACUGUAACCACAUAGACUACCCAGGCAGAGGUUAGCUAUUACUGUAACCACAUAGACUACCCAGGCAGAGGUUAGCUAUUACUGUAACCACAUAGACUACCCAGGCAGAGGUUAGCUAUUACUGUAACCACAUAGACUACCCAGGCAGAGGUUAGCUAUUACUGUAACCACAUAGACUACCCAGGCAGAGGUUAGCUAUUACUGUAACCACAUAGACUACCCAGGCAGAGGUUAGCUAUUACUGUAACCACAUAGACUACCCAGGCAGAGGUUAGCUAUUACUGUAACCACAUAGACUACCCAGGCAGAGGUUAGCUAUUACUGUAACCACAUAGACUACCCAGGCAGAGGUUAGCUAUUACUGUAACCACAUAGACUACCCAGGCAGAGGUUAGCUAUUACUGUAACCACAUAGACUACCCAGGCAGAGGUUAGCUAUUACUGUAACCACAUAGACUACCCAGGCAGAGGUUAGCUAUUACUGUAACCACAUAGACUACCCAGGCAGAGGUUAGCUAUUACUGUAACCACAUAGACUACCCAGGCAGAGGUUAGCUAUUACUGUAACCACAUAGACUACCCAGGCAGAGGUUAGCUAUUACUGUAACCACAUAGACUACCCAGGCAGAGGUUAGCUAUUACUGUAACCACAUAGACUACCCAGGCAGAGGUUAGCUAUUACUGUAACCACAUAGACUACCCAGGCAGAGGUUAGCUAUUACUGUAACCACAUAGACUACCCAGGCAGAGGUUAGCUAUUACUGUAACCACAUAGACUACCCAGGCAGAGGUUAGCUAUUACUGUAACCACAUAGACUACCCAGGCAGAGGUUAGCUAUUACUGUAACCACAUAGACUACCCAGGCAGAGGUUAGCUAUUACU